rnacentral:rRNA from 1 species
CAAUAGCGUAUAUUAAAGUUGUUGCGGUUAAAAAGCUCGUAGUUGGAUUUCUGCUGAGGACGACCGGUCCGCCCUCUGGGUGAGCAUCUGGCUCGGCCUUGGCAUCUUCUUGGGGAACGUAGCUGCACUUGACUGUGUGGUGCGGUAUCCAGGACUUUUACUUUGAGGAAAUUAGAGUGUUUCAAGCAGGCGCACGCCUUGAAUACAUUAGCAUGGAAUAAUAAGAUAGGACCUCGGUUCUAUUUUGUUGGUUUCUAGAGCUGAGGUAAUGAUUAAUAGGGAUAGUUGGGGGCAUUCGUAUUUAACUGUCAGAGGUGAAAUUCUUGGAUUUGUUAAAGACGGACUACUGCGAANGNAUUUGCNAAGGAUGUUUNCAUUG